rnacentral:tRNA from 1 species
AUCAUUAUAGUUUAAGAAAAACAUUUCAUUUUCAAUGAAAAAAUAUAUUAUUAAUAUUUAUGAUA